rnacentral:lncRNA from 1 species
GACAAGAGGAUGGGACUGCAGUUGUGGCUGCCAGGUCUCACUCUCCCUUGGAUGGUCGGCGGGGUGGGGGUGGAGGCCAGGGCUGUAGUGCAGCUCCCGCAGGUGCUGGCUCAGGGGGAGCAGGCAGGCUCCGGUUUUCGGGCCCCGGCCAGGGUGAAAACAAGGAACAUUCCAGAGAAGAUCACAAGGAUGCGAAUAAAAUCGGAGCUGCACAGGGAUCUUUGGGCUGUAAUAGGAGGGGACACACAGGGGUUAGGGGAGGGUCUAGCCCUUGGCUCCCUCAGCCCAGCCCUCCUGUCACCUUGCCUCUCCCCUUUCCCCCACCUUAUUCUAUCCCACCCGCCACCGUUGGCCAACUCCUCUCCUAAACAGUGGACUCUGCUUUUUCCCCUCCUCUUAUCCCUAAUCCUAGGAGCUUUCUGUCUGGCUUCCCUCCUGGCCCCUCGUGUAUGCAUUCUCUCUAGCGGUGGGGAUUAAGGAGAAAACUCACGUGGCCAGUGGGUAGAGAGAGUCCGGGCAGGCAGCUGCCUGAAGUCAGCCAGAGUCUGCAUGUGCCCAGCUGUCCUGGCCUCCAGCAUCUCUGGAAAAACAGAGACAGAAUGAGUAGCAGCAGGGGACCCCAUAGGGCACAUCUGAAGGCCUGAGAGGUGCUGGAUGGGAUGGGAAGGCAGAAACAGGCUGACCUUAUCUAGGGGUAGGAGUGGGGAGUA